rnacentral:rRNA from 1 species
GAAACACGGACCAAGGAGUUCAACUGGACUGCGAGUCGUAGAGUAUCUCACGAAACUCUGUUUUUUUAUUACGGCGAAGCGAAAGCAAACUCAUGCGAACUAUGGAUGUUCUCACGAACAUUGAUAGCGCAGCAUAAGCUGAUUAAGUACAUGCGUAGUGUUUACAGUGCGUAUGCGUGUAGAUUUAUUUCCACACGAUUAAUCAAGCUCAAGAGCAAAUUAGUUGAGACCCGAAAGAUGGUGAACUAUGCUCGGACAUGGUGAAGCCAGGUGAAAACUUGGUGGAAGCUUGCGUUGUGCGGAACUGACGUGCAAAUCGUUGCCGCCUGAACUGAGUAUAGGGGCGAAAGACUCAUCGAACCAUCUAGUAGCUGGUUCCCUCCGAAGUUUCCCUUAGGAUAGCUCGAAUUUAUAAUAAAGAGUAACACAUUAGGGUAAAGCAAUGAGACGCGGUAUCUGUGGGUCUUAUCUUAAUGACCUCGGCCUUCUCUCAAACUUUAAAUCUGUGCGAUUACGUGUUUAUUUACUUAGAAUGUGCUGUAUUUAUACAGUUACAGUGAAAUCACGUCUUCUUAUAUUGUAUCAAAAAUUCGUAGUGGGCCAUUUCUGGUAAGCAGAACUGGCGAUGAGGGAUUCAACCCGACGUUUUCAAGAUAAGCCGGGCUUAAUCUUAUCUGCUCCAACCUUCCGAUAAACGCGA